GAUGAACGCUAGCUACAGGCUUAACACAUGCAAGUCGAGGGGUAACGAGAGGAAAGCUUGCUUUCCUUGUUGACGACCGGCGCACGGGUGAGUAACGCGUAUCCAACCUGCCCCCAACUAGGGAAUAACCUUGCGAAAGUAAGACUAAUACCCUAUAAUUUCCUCAGAUGUCAUCUGACGAGGAAUAAAGAUUUAUCGGUUGUGGAUGGGGAUGCGUCUGAUUAGCUUGUUGGCGGGGUAACGGCCCACCAAGGCAACGAUCAGUAGGGGUUCGGAGAGGAAGGUCCCCCACAUUGGAACUGAGACACGGUCCAAACUCCUACGUGAGGCAGCAGUGGGGAAUAUUGGUCAAUGGGCGGAAGCCUGAACCAGCCAAGUAGCGUGCAGGAUGACGGCCCUAUGGGUUGUAAACUGCUUUUAUACAGGAAUAAAGUUAGCCACGUGUGGUUAUUUGUAGGUACUGUAUGAAUAAGGACCGGCUAAUUCCGUGCCAGCCGCCGCCGUAA
rnacentral:rRNA from 1 species